rnacentral:rRNA from 1 species
GACGAACGCUGGCGGCGUGCCUAAUACAUGCAAGUAGAACGCUGAAGAGAGGAGCUUACUCUUCUUGGAUGAGUUGCGAACGGGUGAGUAACGCGUAGGUAACCUGCCUUGUAGCGGGGGAUAACUAUUGGAAACGAUAGCUAAUACCGCAUAACAAUGGAUGACACAUGUCAUUUAUUUGAAAGGGGCAAUUGCUCCACUACAAGACGGACCUGCGUUGUAUUAGCUAGUAGGUGAGGUAAUGGCUCACCUAGGCGACGAUACAUAGCCGACCUGAGAGGGUGAUCGGCCACACUGGGACUGAGACACGGCCCAGACUCCUACGGGAGGCAGCAGUAGGGAAUCUUCGGCAAUGGGGGCAACCCUGACCGAGCAACGCCGCGUGAGUGAAGAAGGUUUUCGGAUCGUAAAGCUCUGUUGUAAGUCAAGAACGGGUGUGAGAGUGGAAAGUUCACACUGUGACGGUAGCUUACCAGAAAGGGACGGCUAACUACGUG